AUACACAGCUGCAUACAAAGUAACUGAUCAGAGUACAACUUUUCAAUGUUUAAAACAGAAUAAACUGUAAAAGCAGCACCUACAUGACAUUUUUAACUUUAGUAUUCCUCUCCUUCUUCUUCACCUUCUCCUUCAACAGAAACCACACCAACCUCCUCAUAAUCCUUCUCAAGGGCAGCCAUGUCCUCACAGGCCUCAGAAAACUCUCUUUCCUCCAUGUCCUCACCCACAUACCAGUGAACAAAGGCGUAUUUGGCAUGUAUCUGGUUAAACUUAUGGUCCGGGUGAGCCCGGGCCUCAGCAGUGGCUGUGGUGUUGCCCCGCAUGCGCAAAGCUCGUUGUACUUUGGCCAGGUCUCCACCAGGGACUGCAGUGGGAGGCUGGUGAUUAAUUACAACUUUGAAACCAGUGGAGUACCGGUCCACAAACUGGAUGCUGUAAUUGGUCUUUAUGGUGGCAAAGGCAGCAUUGAUAUCUUUGGGAACCAUGUUGCCAUGGUGUCACAGGCAUCAGGCCAUGUAUUUACCAUGGUGAGGGUCAUAUUUCACCAUCUGGUUGGUUGGCUCUGAGCACACAUUGGUGAUCUCUACUACAGAAAGCUGCUCAUGGUAGGCUUUCUCAGCAGAGAUGACAUGGGAAUAUGUGGCCAGAGAGUAGUAGUUG
rnacentral:lncRNA from 1 species